AAACUUACCUUUCAAAGGAGGGACCAGGAUCUCAUAAGGGUGAGGUUUGCCCAUUGUAGUCUGGAUAUAAGGACCUGCACAGAUUCCCUAAAGAAGAGAAGCUUGACAGCAUAAUUGGUGGUAGCGUGAGACUGUGCUACCCUGUUCCCUUC
rnacentral:snRNA from 1 species